UGUGUGAAGAAGGCCUUAUGGUUGUAAAGCACUUUAAGCGAGGAGGAGGCUACUUUAGUUAAUACCUAGAGAUAGUGGACGUUACUCGCAGAAUAAGCACCGGCUAACUCUGUGCCAGCAGCCGCGGUAAUACAGAGGGUGCGAGCGUUAAUCGGAUUUACUGGGCGUAAAGCGUGCGUAGGCGGCUUAUUAAGUCGGAUGUGAAAUCCCCGAGCUUAACUUGGGAAUUGCAUUCGAUACUGGUGAGCUAGAGUAUGGGAGAGGAUGGUAGAAUUCCAGGUGUAGCGGUGAAAUGCGUAGAGAUCUGGAGGAAUACCGAUGGCGAAGGCAGCCAUCUGGCCUAAUACUGACGCUGAGGUACGAAAGCAUGGGGAGCAAACAGGAUUAGAUACCCUGGUAGUCCAUGCCGUAAACGAUGUCUACUAGCCGUUGGGGCCUUUGAGGCUUUAGUGGCGCAGCUAACGCGAUAAGUAGACCGCCUGGGGAGUACGGUCGCAAGACUAAAACUCAAAUGAAUUGACGGGGGCCCGCACAAGCGGUGGAGCAUGUGGUUUAAUUCGAUGCAACGCGAAGAACCUUACCUGGCCUUGACAUACUAGAAACUUUCCAGAGAUGGAUUGGUGCCUUCGGGAAUCUAGAUACAGGUGCUGCAUGGCUGUCGUCAGCUCGUGUCGUGAGAUGUUGGGUUAAGUCCCGCAACGAGCGCAACCCUUUUCCUUACUUGCCAGC
rnacentral:rRNA from 1 species